rnacentral:rRNA from 2 species
GUUGACAAGCUGUGAUGGGGAGCGAAAUUAAAGUAGCGAAGUUGCCGAUGUCACACUGCCGAGAAAAGCUUCUAAGGAGUAGUUAACUGCCCGUACCGCAAACCGACACAGGUAGUCGAGGAGAGAAUCCUAAGGUGAGCGAGAGAACUCUCGUUAAGGAACUCGGCAAAAUGACCCCGUAACUUCGGGAGAAGGGGUGCUGGCCGCAAGGCCAGCCGCAGUGAAUAGGCCCAGGCGACUGUUUAUCAAAAACACAGGUUUCUGCAAAAUCGUAAGAUGAAGUAUAGGGGCUGACGCCUGCCCGGUGCUGGAAGGUUAAAAGGAUGGGUUAGCUUCGGCGAAGCUCAGAAUUGAAGCCCCAGUAAA